AUAUCACGUACGAAUCACGACUGUACGAGUUGUCGGCGGUAAUAAGAUCGCUUAUAAGUCUAGAAAUUGAUUGGAAAAAAAAUCUGAUGCCACUUAAAAAUCAUUGGACUGGUCCAGCAAGAAACUCGAUAGUCUGGUGGGAAAUUCAAUUUGAAGAUUAUACUUGUUCACGAUGCUCUUCUAUGUGUAACUGCAUUUGCAACGAGCCGCAUACCACGAGAUUGCUUGUGGGACACUAAUUGAGAAGCCCUUGCCGUCUGUUCGUUACAUUCUUUUUAUGCAUACAAAAAUAAAUAGAGUGUUGAAAAGGUGAUUAUAGGACAUAUAAAUAACACACCUCAAAUCUACAAGUAUUUAUUGGAUAUAAGGCGCCUACAUUGCUGAGUACUAUACACUUUGAAACUCGUAUCGAAUCAGCUCCAUUUUGGAACUUUAAACAGUUUUGCUUAUCUUUUAAAUUCGUCGUGUAUCUUGAUGGAAUGACAAUGAUUUCGCUAAACAUUGUCCAAGCAUGGCACUAAACAGGAACUGCUAACAGUGGGCUCUAGGCGGAGAUUAAGAAAUAGUACCGGAAGUCAUUCGUACUCUUUUCGACCGUUUCAAGCGAAAUUUAACAACGUAUUGAUUUUAUUACAAAUAAAACGAGAUUGUGGUCGAUGUUUUUGUUUCUUUUACAAUUUAAUCGACGAUUAUUUACAAUUGCUACUUCUAAAAAAUCAUUAUAUGUCGCGAAGAAAAUAUAUUAUUUCUUUUUUCUCUUUCUUUAAAUCGUAACAUGUACAAACGAUAAGAUUCAUCUUUUAUCGUUGAAAUUGUUACUAGUAAACUGUGGAUGUUUAGGUAAAUAAUAUAAUAUGCUUUUAUUUAAACGCGAAGAAAAAGAAAUUGAGAUAUGUGAAAUUUUGUUUUAAUUCAAUUAUUUUAUUUCCAGGGGAACACCUCGAAUUUUGGCCUGAUCAAUUCGAAUAGCAACACGUGAUGUCUACAAGGAUUAAGCUACGUUGUAAUUUCAUUGAAGCCUUGUAAUCGUCAACAGAACUUGAAAGUGAAUAUAAAUUAAAGGUAUGAAUGCAUCGUUCUAGCUUUUGAAAAGAAUUUAAAGGGUGUACAAAUACUUCUUACACCCACCCACGUAUAUGUACGACCAUAAGAAAUUAAAUAGCUUUCUAUUCUCCAUCAAAUUAGAUGAUCACAGUUAGUCUGUUUCGAUGUAUUUAUACAAAAUUGUUCCUCCGAUUAUGAAUAGUUACAUUUUAGUUUCUUUAUUGUAUCUCAGAAUUGCUUUACGUGCUAUUUCAUAGAAAACACCUUUACACGAAAUAGACUCAUUGUCAGAUCUAUACGAUUUAGAGGUGUUGCUGUCCAUUAUCAAUAAGUUAUCAUCGAUAUUUAUCAAUAGCAGCACUUCUAAUUCGAUUACCAACUCCAUUUGAAUAAAUAUAUCACUCGAGAGACCAUCGAAGAAAGCAACGGGCUAGCACGACGGUAAAAUUCUCACGAAUAAUUCAAAACUUAUGGUAAUUAUAUAAAAUAAGAUCCAUCUCGUUGAUAUCUUGAUAUAUACGUGAUAUUGAAGGUCAGUUUUUGAGUAAUUUCAUAUUAUACGCGUAUAAGCGACGUUUAUUACGAAAAUAUUAAAGAUAUUCAUAUUUAAUUUUGUAGGUGAUUUCCUGAGGCUGUUUUAAAGCAUCAUUUUACCGAAUUGGUAAAUAGAAAUGAAUUUACUCGGAGAACGAUCAUCCCUCUCUGGAAUUACCUAGGAUAUUGUUCUUUACAAACAUAUCAAGGAUCGUCUUGAACUUCAGACGAGAGUUCAGAUAAUGUAAAGGCAACGGAGAAUACCCUGUGCAUGCAGUGGCACAGUUCAUUGGCCUGUCACACAGCAUAUAAAUCAAAAAUAUCAUUGAUGAAGUCAUUAAUUACGAUAACUUAAUUGAAAGAAAUUUUUAACACGCACAACAAUAAAUAAUUUCUACAAAGAAAUUGGAAAAAAAGAACAGUCCAUGUACACGAGAACAACCAUCGACGAGAGCAUGCAGGAAUCAACAAGGCCGAAAAAGCUGAAGAAGCUGCAUAACACCAUGCAUCAUUUUCUUCGCUAAUUAAUAUCCAAUAUCCAUUAGCGUAGAAUUGAUAAAGCGGCUAGAAGCGAUAACACGCGUGUUAGACGAAUUGUUUGCAAAAAACUGUAAUCCUUCCUCGAUUGAAUAAGUGGAAGAAUGGAAGAUCCAGUCAACCGAGGUUGUAGGUUUUUGGUGUGAUCCUGUCGUCAUCGUACACCUCACAGACUCAUACAUAAGACUGAUAUAAGAUACGUAUAGAUACAAAAUUAAGCAGAUCGUGGUGGCUAGCGAUGGGAGAUAAUAUUGAGUGGUCCUUGCAUCAAUGCAGUAAAACGGAGAUAGAAACGAAAAUACACAGAGAAGAAGAAUCAUAUAAUCGAAAGAAUAUGAACAGUAAGAGGUUUUAGGAGGCAGAGUAACAUCGCCAAAGAAAGACAUGACACGGUAUAAUGAAGAAGAAAGACAAUAUAAGUGGAGAGAGAGGUUUAAAAACGAGUCGCUAAAAAAAAAAAUGAAAUAAAAGGAAUUGGUAUAUCCAAGAUGUAUAUAUAUAUAUGAAUAAGAUCGGAUGCGGUUUCAACAUUACAUGUACAAAAUUGGACAAUGUAGAAAAAAGGAAACGUUUGCACAACCGUUUAAUAAGUAAGUUUCGAAGUUUCCAUUCUUCUUGCAGUUCGUUUAUAGAACGUGAUAGCGUGAUGCACUUUUAAGUGCGAAUCAUACCUUGCUAUUCGCGAAGAGGAGACCCACGCCCUCCAUGCAAACCUGCAGAAGUCCACCCUCACCGGUACGCAUAUCUUGAACUGGAAAUUCACCGCCAAGUUCAAUUCCUACGUUUGCACCACGACCACGGGCAGCAGCCUUCUCCAUUGCAUCUUUUAUACAGUAAUAUAGUGUAAUACUUAUGCAGCUGCGUUUGCCCGCCGUUCCGUCGCCAAAGGCACAAAACUUUGUUCUUUGGACUGUAAGUCAUGUUCACCAAACGUUCGUACCACCAUCGUUCAACGAUUACGCCGUUCACGGAUCUCAACACGAGUCCGUCGUGGCGAACCUCGAGAAAACGUAGAUCACCUUCAGCAUCAACACCAGCGUGCACUGUGAACGACUGCCGAUGCAUUUGUCGAGACGUUCUUGCUGCUUCUGGACUGGGUGCAGUGGUGGUGGGUACCAAACUUCCCCCGUGAUACCGGAAACCAGUACUCAAAGAGGAUUUGCUGGACCAUACGCUUCCCGUACGUUGCUUUGGUUGACGUGGAAACUGAAAUCGUCGAAUUUCCCGUCAACUUGAACACUUGGUUUCUAUGAUUCAAGGAAAGUUUCAAGGGAUUGAAAAGUUGAUGAGAAAUUCUUCUAGGAUAAAUAAUUAUGCAUAAUAUUACAGUAACAAGGUAUCAACCACGUGCAAUGAUGGUUGCCCUCUACGAGGGGAAUUGUGGAAGAAAAGGCACAUCGUUACGCAUGAUUGUCGAAGCUUUUUACCUUAUCCAUUUGGGCAAGAAGACCAUCCUGACUGCUCUGUCUGGUUGUUUCCCGAACGAGAUCCUUAGCCUGCGUUGCAAUUUGUUCGAACAAAGAUCCUUGUGAUCCUUGUCGUAGAACGCCAUUGCCAGUAACGUUGGAUGUGCCUUGUUUCGGUACACCUUCUGCAACCUGUUUCUGAGUACCAGCGCUCAAUGAAAGUUGUCGAGGAACAGUAGAACGUUUCCAACACUUGGGUGACGCUGAAGAACUGCUCCGCUUGGUUGGAUCUUUGAAAUAAAACAAUUUCACUUAACGAGACGUUGGAACUACUUAUUUAAAAUUACAUUUACACUUCAGUCGAACAUUUUUUAUAUAUUUGGAAAAAUUGUACUUCUUUAUGAUCGAGUGCAUUUAAUAUCAGAAUGCCAGAGUGAGAAUCAUUAAAAUCAUACAAUAUAUACUGCCAGGUAUUGUUUUACCAAAGACAAUCCAUGCACUUCAGGUGACAAAUAAGAAUCACAAAACUGGAUAGACAUCUAAGAGAAAUCGAACAAAUGACCAACCAACAGAAUAUGCAUGCAGUUGAAAUGAUGACAUCAAGAUAGAAGGUAAUCGAUAGGGGUGACAGUCGAUGAAGGAUGACUCACAGGAACGACAUAUCUACUGACACGCGAGGUCCUGUGGGAAGUGGUAGGACGUUCAGUGUCGCUGAUCGUUGCUGGAGUGGCUAAUAAUCCCGUGCCAACUCCAAAUUGUCCUAUAGAACUUUGUGCGCUCAGGAUUGUGCGUGGUGUUAUUGUUGAUGCAGAGUCUGACUCAAAGCUACCACCUUCCUCUUUAUCCUAUGAUCAAGUGUUUCGUUAGCGUGUUUUAUACGCUACAUUUCUUUAUUACUUUCACAUGGAUCCAUAGAAAUUUCUUAGGAACAAUAAUUGUUUUAGGUUCGUCAAGGUUCGUUAGAAAUUUUGACCAAUAGGUAGCUGAAGAGAAAACCAGUUUCUUCAAUGUGAGAUAUUCUUGAAUAAAACUUGAAUCUUACUGAAUUCAAGUUAAAAUUGUUAAAAGAUUAUUUCUAUAAACUGUAUUGCUAAUGUUUGAAUAACCAAAAUUAAAGCUUCUAACAAUUUUAACUGCAGUAAGACGGAAUAAUAAAGUUUUUUGAAACGAAGAUUUCUAGCAGGAUACGAAGAGUUCGGACUGCUCAGAUCGCUAUGACUGGAGGAAGUGCUCGGUGGACUUUCCGGCCUGGUUGUUGACUCCUCCUCCAUUCCAGGAUAUUGCAAAGAACUUGGUGGAUUGUAGACAUUCUUUGGAUCUACCGACAGAGCCAUUUGUGGCUGUGCCACUAACGCGGAAUAACUUACUGGGCGACAGAUCAGACGACACCAUCUCAGAGACAAAAUCGCUCAAGGAAGAAUAAGAGGAGCUGGUACUCUCAGCACCCUCCGAGUCUGAUCCACUUUCAUCGGUAGGUUGAUUUUCAUGUUCCUUCAUUGCCUUCAGAGCGUUCGCCAACGAGCUACCCGUGUCCCAUACAGGAAAAUAAAUGGGUUCGAGGCUCGAAGCGUACCACUUUGGUUUAUCCCCGAUUUGCGUUGGGUCGAACACACCUGUCUGUACCCUGAGGAAUGCCACGUUGUUUGGAGUUAAGGACCACUCGGCCAGAAAUUCCACCGCCUGUGUUCUAGCGAAUUUAUUCAAGAAAUGACUGGUGCGCGGCCUCGACCGAAGGAAAGAAUUGAUCUGAAAGGCCACCACCGGCCUUGGGUACAGCCUCAGAGUCCUUGUGUGCUCGGUGAAGUUAGCAAGCAAGUUCUGGGAGUUGAAGAAACGCACCAUAGCCACCCUGGUGGCAACGUCCACCGAGUCUACGUCGUUGCCAUAGAUGAAAGGAUUGAAAGGAGGCAUGUGUUGCGAGGACAUGGGUUUCUGAGGCGACGAAGAUCCUGAUGAUUGAGAUACAGACUGUCGACGUGGUCCAGAGGCUGCGCUUGUCACCGUGGAACUCGUUGAAUGGAGGUGCUUGCAACGACGUUCGAGGUGAAGUGUCUUGGGGCAAAGGUUGCGGAGUCGUCAUGCUAGCCAUUGCCUGAAAAGGAUAGCCCCAUGAAGAGAAUAUAUCUAAAGCGGUUCUCGAGCAACCUUUUCUUGCCAAGAGCCCGCGACAUUCGUCUGGGAUAUUGUUGAAGCCACUACGUUCAGAUCUACGCUAUGCGCUCCUACGUUUCGUGUUCCAAGCUUCUCCUCUCUACGAACCAGACUGUCCAUGCGGCUAACUACGAUGCAAAGAGGUCAGCUAAACGCGUCUACAUGCAAAGAGUGAUUAAUGAAAUAUUUACACCAGAGCCGGCUUGGUCCAUCAGUUGCAUUGCCUGCAGAACCAGG